rnacentral:lncRNA from 1 species
UUUAAUUUUGUUUGAACAGUAUUUCUACAGUUAAAAAUAUACUGUAUUUCUACAGUUAAAAAUAUACUGUAUUUUUACAUUUUAAAAUAUAUUGUAUUUCUACAGUUGAAAAUAUGCUGUAUUUCCAAAUCUAAUGUUUACAAACUUCUUGAACCUGUUGAAUUUAACAAUAUAUUCAUCAAAAUUUUAUCAUAUCCUUUAUAUGUCUUGUUAAUGAUAAAAAGUUCUGAGUAUAUGAUAGUAUAUCUUGAAUAAGAUAGAUGUAUAUGUUGGACCAAUAGUGUGAAUAAUAGUCAGAUUUUACCUCAAACAAGACAAUUCUCUUAAAAGGGAUGAUACUAUAUCCCCAUUACAUUCCAUAGGGCAUAUUGUUUUAAUGUCAAGAUAUAUAUAUUAUAAUAUUAAAGUUUGUUAUAAAAUUAUUUUUAUAUAUGAUUAUAAACUUUUAAAUAAUAAUACCAUAAAUUCUUCUUGACUUUGUUUCUUCAAAUAAUCAUGAAAAGCACUUUUUCCUAAGUUUUUGAAAGAAAUGACCAAACAAUAUAUAGACAGUAUAAGUAUAUCAAAUUUAAAUUUUAAAAAUUUCCAUGUUUUUGUUUUGUUUACAAAAAGGUAAUGCCAAUUAUUGUCAAACCAAUUCAUAACUGAAUAAUUAAAAUUUUGUCUAAAGAUUUUGUAGACUUAUAAUAUACCAGUAUUGUUAUAAAUACUGAGUGAAAUAGUUAUUUAACUUGGUACUGGUAAAAGACAAUCAAAAUACUUUGAUCAAAGGACUUUUUGUGCAAUUAUACAUGUUAAGCAGACUUUAUUUUAAUACAACGAAUAAAAUGCCAAAAAAGAAAAUUGACUAGUCAGAAUUAUGCCUUGUAUGAGGUGCCUUUUAUGUCAUAAGCCUUUUUGAAAAAUAAAUGCCAUUGCCACAAUUGUUUAAAUUAGUCAAACUAAUUUGUUGAGAGUAGCAUUUACUUCAAACUUUGUUAAAAUAAUGGUAGUUAUUUUAAUAAGAGGUUUAAAAUGACAUACAAAUGUUUUCUUCCUCUGGUAUUACCAUAGUAUGAAAACCGAUUUGAGAAAGAAAACAUUUCUGUUUAAAGGACUUUCAUGUUGUUAUGUACAGUUAAUAUAUUCAUAUGUUUUGGUUACUAAAUAUGUUAUUUUUGUAAUGAUUAAAGGUUUUGGUCAGUAUUUUUCAGCUAAGAUAUGACAAAAACUUUCAUUGAACUUUCAUUAUACUGAGAAUGAAUUUCAAUUAGAAUGAAAAACACAGUUCGAAAACACAUUUUGUUCCUUUUUUUUUUGGUAUUAUUUUUCAAAACAUGUAACUACUGUAUUUUAUAUCAAAUGCUUCAGUAAAUUUUAAAACCCCACAAAUCAUUGUGGGGGUUACCAUAAUUCUUUUUUUAACAUAAAAUAUUUAAUAACCAAAACAUUUCUGAUGGUGUCUUCACUGAAAGUUUUAGUCAUUGUAAUUUUGUUGUUGAAAAAGUAUCUUUACUUUCAAGAGUUAACUCAUUUUGAGCAUUAUUAAUAAAAGUAAACGAGAUCCAUCCUUCCUUUUUAUUGUCAACCUUACAACAUUUUUGUCAGCAAUGUUGUCAUCCGUUGCAUCAACAUUUAGGUUCAUCCUGUGGUUUUUAACAUCAAUAUUUUUAGCAAAUUUCUUUUUAUGUAAUUUGGAAAAAAGCAUUUUUUCAUAAUGAAUAAUAUUGACAACAGUAUAGAUGUAACAAACUGUUAUCAAGGAAAGAUUAGGUUUUUUAGACACAGACGAUAAACAUAUUUGUAUAUUCAUGAUUGCUUUGUAAAGUAUUUGGAGAAAAAAAAAACAUAAACUUCAUUUUGUACAAGUAUUCAACCUCAUUUUCAGUCAUAUAUGUAGCAUUUUUAGAACACAAAUUUUGUUUGUACUUAACAUUGUUUAGUCAUAUGCUCAAUGUUAAAACCUUUUUUUUUAAGUCAAAAUGACUUUAAAUAUGUUGAUAUCUAUGCAACUGGUUGCAUACAAUGAUAAAAUAAAAUUACAAAACCAAG